GAUGAACGCUGGCGGCGUGCCUAAUACAUGCAAGUCGAGCGAACAGAUGAGGAGCUUGCUCCUCUGACGUUAGCGGCGGACGGGUGAGUAACACGUGGAUAACCUACCUAUAAGACUGGGAUAACUUCGGGAAACCGGAUCUAAUACCGGAUAAUAUAUUGAACCGCAUGGUUCAUUAGUGAAAGACGGUUUUGCUGUCACUUAUAGAUGUAUCCGCGCCGCAUUAGCUAGUUGGUAAGGUAACGGCUUACCAAGGCAACGAUGCGUAGCCGACCUGAGAGGGUGAUCGGCCACACUGGAACUGAGACACGGUCCAGACUCCUACGGGAGGCAGCAGUAGGGAAUCUUCCGCAAUGGGCGAAAGCCUGACGGAGCAACGCCGCGUGAGUGAUGAAGGUCUUCGGAUCGUAAAACUCUGUUAUUAGGGAAGAACAAAUGUGUAAGUAAAUAUGCACGUCUUGACGGUACCUAAUCAGAAAGCCACGGCUAACUACGUG
rnacentral:rRNA from 1 species